GCUGGGUGUGGUGGCCUGUGCCUGUAGUCCCAGCCACUUGGGAGGCUGAGGCAGGAGAAUUGCUUGAGCCUAGGAGUCGGAGGUUGCAGUGAGCUGAGACUGCGCCACUACACUCCAGCCUGGGCAACAGAGCAAGACUCUGUCUCAA
rnacentral:SRP_RNA from 2 species